ensembl:snRNA U4 U4 spliceosomal RNA
AGCUUUGUGCAGUGGCAGUAUCGUAGCCAAUAAGGCUUAUCCAAGGCACAGUUAUUGCUAAUUGAAAAUAUAUGUAUAUAUAACAACAACAAACUAUGCACCAUUUGGACAGAUAGUCUUAAGUUUUUGAACAUGUAAAAAUAA